rnacentral:rRNA from 1 species
AUUGAACGCUGGCGGCAGGCCUAACACAUGCAAGUCGAACGAGUAGCGGACGGGUGAGUAAUUUCUGUGAAACUGCGUGAUGGAGGGGGAUAACUACUGGAAACUGUAGCUAAUACAGCAUACCAUCAGAUGUGCCCAGAUGGGAUUAGCUAGUUGGUGUGGUAAAGGCAUACCAAGGCGACGAUCCCUAACUGGUCUGAGAGGAUGACCAGUCACACUGGAACUGAGACACGGUCCAGACUCCUACGGGAGGCAGCAGUGGGGAAUAUUGGACAAUGGGCGAAAGCCUGAUGCAGCCAUGCCGCGUGUAUGAAGAAGGUCUUCGGAUUGUAAAGUACUUUAAGCUGGGAGGCGUUACCAGCAGAAGAAGCACCGGCUAACUCCGUGCCAGCAGCCGCGGUAAUAC